rnacentral:misc_RNA from 1 species
AAAAUGUUUUGGAGGAUCUGUAGGAUGGAUCCACUCCACUGACUGAGAAUCACACUGACACAAGCACACACUACAUCCAACUCUAUUGAUGAAUAAGCUAUGUGGUUGAAAAUGCACAACCUUUGUUCUGUCUGAAGUCAUGCGCAGCACCACCGAAAGCUUGUAAUAAAAUCCAUCCACACCAAAGGCCUUGACAUCAACACGUUGCUUCUUUUCCAGCUCAAGAAGAGAUAUCCCGGAACUAAAGUUCUCAGAAUUUUGUAGAGCAACAGCGAUGCCCACCCGGGACGAAAGAUAGGCAUCAUUACGCGAUGAAAACAGCAUGACACCACCACGUCCAACAUAGUGUUGUGGAGAAAGCAUGCUGGGAGUUGGAGUGGAAUCUUCAAUAGCUUCAAGUACUUGAAUGUUUU